GACAGUAUCGGCCUCAGGAACCAUCAUAAUGGAAACACUCAUAGGCAUCUGGAGAGGUCUGAGGCUCUCACCCACACCAGCCUCGACGAUAGGAGUCUGUGGUGGUCCUUCUGUUCUAGAAAGUGCCCUCUUUCCUGGCAUCCCAAAAAUCUGGGAGGGUCAAGGAGAAACUGAUUUUCAAAAAUACCCUUUCCUGCAGGAGUUCAAGACCCAGCAGCU
rnacentral:rRNA from 1 species